rnacentral:rRNA from 1 species
CCUACGGGUGGCAGCAGUGAGGAAUAUUGGUCAAUGGACGAGAGUCUGAACCAGCCAAGUAGCGUGAAGGAUGACUGCCCUAUGGGUUGUAAACUUCUUUUAUAAAGGAAUAAAACGAGGCACGUGUGCCUUUUUGCAUGUACUUUAUGAAUAAGGAUCGGCUAACUCCGUGCCAGCAGCCGCGGUAAUACGGAGGAUCCGAGCGUUAUCCGGAUUUAUUGGGUUUAAAGGGAGCGUAGAUGGGUUGUUAAGUCUGGAGUGAAAUGCCGCAGCUUAACUGCGGAACUGCUUUGGAAACUGGCGAACGAGAGUGAGGGAGGGGUAAGCGGAAUUCCAAGUGUAGCGGUGAAAUGCGUAGAUAUUAGGAGGAACACCGGUGGCGAAGGCGGCUUACUGGACCGUAACUGACGUUGAGGCUCGAAAGCGUGGGGAGCAAACAGGAUUAGAUACCCCUGUAGUC